GCCCUUUAAAAUCCGCGCGAAUGGCCUAUAUGGGUCGUGCCGGCUUCGGCCGGCUAUGGCGAUAAAGUGCAGCGUUUAAUAGGCGCAGCGGACCCGGGGGCGGUACCCGGCGGCUCCACCACUUGAUCCGCCGACCAGCACGCAAGCGUGCCGGCCGAGCGGCUCAGCUGAUGGGGCCGAACUAGGAUCGACGUGUGUUGAAACGCGCUGUUUUUGCCCGGGCUGAGUAACCCGUAAAAGGCUCAAAACCACAAGUGCCAACGAUAACGAGGCGCUCGCGAUUGCCGCGUAACCUGGUCCUCACGGACUGAGUUACUAAGGACAAAAGCGCGGUUCGGGCCGCACCGGGCAACAGAAGCGGAUUCCG
rnacentral:tmRNA from 1 species